ACCAAUUUACAUUCCCACCAACACUGUACAAGGGUUUCUUUCUCUCUACUGUCUUCCUAACACUUGCUGUCUCUUGUCUUUUUGAUAAUAGGUAUUUUAACGAUGUAAUGUCAUCUUGUAUUAUGCUUUUGAUUUGUUCACGCCAUUCUCCUGCCUCAGCCUCCCUAGUAGCUGGGACUACAGGCCACCAAGCCCAGCUAAUUUUUUGUAUUUUUAGUAGAGACGGAGUUUCACUGUGUUAGCCAGGAUGGUCUAGAUCCCCUGACCUCGUGAUCCGUCUGCCUUGGCCUUCUAAGAGACCCUUAAUCAGUCUUAUUUGAAACAGAAUGUAUUUCUCCACUGCAUAAGUAAUU
rnacentral:lncRNA from 1 species